rfam:Brassica napus, WGS project CCCW01000000 data, contig: 37154
GUAAUAUAAGAACCGUCUCUUAAUUUUAACUAAGAAAAAUUAAGAACCGUUUCUUAAAUAUAUUAUUCAAGAGUCGGUUCUUAAUUUUUUUUAGUUAAAAGUUAAGAGACGGUUUUUAUAUCGC